UACAGAGGGUGCGAGCGUUGUCCGGAAUCACUGGGCGUAAAGGGCGCGUAGGUGGCCACCAUAAGGCCGCGGUGAAAGUCUGGGGCUCAACCCCGGAUCGGCCGCGGCGACUGUGGGGCUUGGGUACCGUAGAGGCAGAUGGAAUUCCGGGUGUAGCGGUGGAAUGCGUAGAGAUCCGGAAGAACACCAGUGGCGAAGGCGGCCCGCUGGGCAGUGGCUGACGCUGAAGCGCGACAGCGUGGGGAGCAAACAGG
rnacentral:rRNA from 1 species